GACGAACGCUGGCGGCGUGCCUAAUACAUGCAAGUUGAGCGAUGAAGAUUGGUGCUUGCACCAAUUUGAAGAGCAGCGAACGGGUGAGUAACGCGUGGGGAAUCUGCCUUUGAGCGGGGGACAACAUUUGGAAACGAAUGCUAAUACCGCAUAAUAACUUUAAACAUAAGUUUUAAGUUUGAAAGAUGCAAUUGCAUCACUCAAAGAUGAUCCCGCGUUGUAUUAGCUAGUUGGUGAGGUAAAGGCCCACCAAGGCGAUGAUACAUAGCCGACCUGAGAGGGUGAUCGGCCACAUUGGGAAUGAGACACGGCCCAAACUCCUACGGGAGGCAGCAGUAGGGAAUCUUCGGCAAUGGACGAAAGUCUGACCGAGCAACGCCGCGUGAGUGAAGAAGGUUUUCGGAUCGUAAAACUCUGUUGGUAGAGAAGAACGUUGGUGAGAGUGGAAAGCUCAUCAAGUGACGGUAACUACCCAGAAAGGGACGGCUAACUACGUG
rnacentral:rRNA from 1 species